rnacentral:rRNA from 1 species
UACGUAGGUGGCAAGCGUUGUCCGGAUUUACUGGGCGUAAAGAGCGCGCAGGCGGUCGUUCAAGUCGCGUGUGAAAGCCCCCGGCUCAACUGGGGAGGGUCACGCGAUACUGAUCGACUCGAAGGCAGGAGAGGGUAGUGGAAUUCCCGGUGUAGUGGUGAAAUGCGUAGAUAUCGGGAGGAACACCAGUGGCGAAGGCGGCACUCUGGGCCGUGACUGACGCUGAGGAGCGAAAGCGUGGGGAGCAAACAGG